rnacentral:rRNA from 1 species
UGCGAGYGAAGCGGCAAAAGCUCAAAUUUGAAAUCUGGCGUCUUUUGGGCGCCCGAGUUGUAAUUUGGAGGAGCGUSUUCGGGAGCGGCACCGUCCUAAGUUCCGUGGAACCGGACGUCACAGAGGGUGAGAAUCCCGUGCCUGGGCGGUCUGUUCGUUCCCAUGUGAAGUGCUUCCGACGAGUCGAGUUGUUUGGGAAUGCAGCUCAAAAUGGGUGGUAAAUUUCWUYUAAAGCUAAAUAUKGGCGAGAGACCGAUAGCGCACAAGUAGAGUGAUCGAAAGAWGAAAAGCACUUUGAAAAGAGAGUUAAAAAGUACGUGAAAUUGUUGAAAGGGAAGCGCUUGAGAUCAAACUCGGCCUUUGGUGAAGCUUUGAGUUCGCUCGAAGCCGCUUGCCUUUGGYUGGGCCAGCAUCGGUUUCGGCGGUGGGAGAAACGGUGGAGGAAUGUAGCUCUCUUCGGGGAGUGUUAUAGCCUNUGUCAAAUACCACCA